AUUGAACGCUGGCGGCAGGCCUAACACAUGCAAGUCGAACGAGUGGCGGACGGGUGAGUAAUGCCUGGGAAACUGCCUGAUGGAGGGGGAUAACUACUGGAAACGGUAGCUAAUACCGCAUACCAUCGGAUGUGCCCAGGUGGGAUUAGUGAGUAGGUGGGGUAAAGGCUCACUUAGGCGACGAUCACUAGCUGGUCUGAGAGGAUGACCAGCCACACUGGAACUGAUACAAGGCCCGGACUCCUACGUGAGGCAGCAGUGGGGAAUAUUGCGCAAUGGGCGCAAGCCUGACGCAGCCAUGCCGCGUGUAUGAAGAAGGCCUUCGGGUUGUAAAGUUCUUUCAGCGGGGAGGCGUUACCUGCAGAAGAAGCACCGGCUAACUCCGUGCCAGCAGCCGCGGUAAUAC
rnacentral:rRNA from 1 species